UACAGAGGAGCCAAGCGUUGUCCGGAUUGACUGGGCGUAAAGCGCACGCAGGCGGCCGCGCACGUGGGGUGUGAAAUCUGGCCGCUUAACGGCCAGGCGCCAUCCCAUACGGCACGGCUGGAGCCAUGCAGAGGGCGGUGGAAUUGCCGGUGUAGUGGCGAAAUGCGUAGAGAUCGGCAGGAACACCCAGGGGGAAACCAGCCGCCUGGGCAUGCGCUGACGCUGAGGUGCGAGAGCGUGGGGAGCAAACGGG
rnacentral:rRNA from 1 species